UACGUAGGUGGCUAGCGUUGUCCGGAUUUACUGGGCGUAAAGAGCGCGCAGGCGGUCAGCACAAGUCAGUUGUGAAAUCCCCGGGCUCAACCUGGGAACUGCAUCUGUGACUGCAUCGCUGGAGUGCGGCAGAGGGGGAUGGAAUUCCGCGUGUAGCAGUGAAAUGCGCAGAUAUCAGGAGGAAUACCGGUGGCGAAAGCGACUCUCUGGACGGCAACUGACGCUGAGGCACGAAAGCGUGGGGAGCAAACAGG
rnacentral:rRNA from 1 species